GCACUGGUAGUGUCCGGGACACGCCGCCUUCAAAUUGUGCUCCUAGAAAAGGUCGGAUUUGGCGGAGUCGGGGUUCGACUCCCCACUGGUGCA